AACGAACGCUGGCGGCAUGCCUAACACAUGCAAGUCGAACGAGACCUUCGGGUCUAGUGGCGCACGGGUGCGUAACGCGUGGGAACCUGCCCUUAGGUUCGGAAUAACUCCCCGAAAGGGGUGCUAAUACCGGAUAAUGUCUUCGGACCAAAGAUUUAUCGCCUUUGGAUGGGCCCGCGUUGGAUUAGCUAGUUGGUAGGGUAAAAGCCUACCAAGGCGACGAUCCAUAGCUGGUCUGAGAGGAUGAUCAGCCGCACUGGGACUGAGACACGGCCCAGACUCCUACGGGAGGCAGCAGUGGGGAAUAUUGGACAAUGGGCGAAAGCCUGAUCCAGCAAUGCCGCGUGAGUGAUGAAGGCCUUAGGGUUGUAAAGCUCUUUUACCCGGGAUGAUAAUGACAGUACCGAGAGAAUAAGCUCCGGCUAGCUCCGUG
rnacentral:rRNA from 1 species